CGUGUGAAGCCGGCAGUGUCGUUGUCCGGUGCGGUGCGCGCGAGACGCGUGCGUUUCAGCCACGGACUCGCUACGGACAGUCAUGUCCCGGUGCGGUUGGACCGGCGAUGGACCGGGAACUGACCGAGCUAGCUGUGUGCGCGUGCUCGUGUAAGCGCGGCCUGGCAGCUGACUCCUCUCUCUCUCGUGCGCCGCGCUCCCUUCUCGACUCCACUUUCAGGCCGCACCGCUAUUUUUCUUCAGCCCACAAUGUACAACAGGUUCGCACUUUUUCACGAGCUGGUUGGCCGCACCUGGUGCUCGCAGC
rnacentral:lncRNA from 1 species